CCCCUGGUAAAUGGCUUGGCAAAUGCAUAUAUCAUAUGGGGGUAAGAAAAGUUGAGUCUUGUUAAGUUGAACACAGUAGUGUAAUUAUUAAUCUGAAAUAUACAUGUAUCUUGUAGUCACCAAGGAUGCUCUAGAUCUGGUAAUAUUCGUUUUGGUCCAACAGAAAAGUGGAUUACAAACCUUGUUAUGAACAUCCUAAAAUGUAUAAUUGUUCCAUAUAUUUGUGCAGUGUGCUUAUUUUUGAGCUGUUGAGAUCAUGCUUGUGCGCAACAUUAUUUUUUUUUCUUAAGAACAGUUUAAUUUCAACAGAAAAGUAGAUGUUGACCGAUGAUUAAUUUCAAUCUUCAGAGGUACCAUUACGUGGUGGUUCUAGAACUAAGCAUCAUUCUAUCUUUCUCAAGAACAGAUUACAGUUUGUGACUUGUAUGUUUGGCAAACUAGAGCAUCGAGUUGUAUAUAAAUUACUUAUUCCUUAGUAUCUAAACUAGAGCAUCGGAUUGUAUAUUUUUUUUGUUUAUUAUUAAUAUGAGGACAACCUAGUAAGCACGGGUUGCUUUCUUAGUUACGUAGUCUUCAUAACUGACCGGUGUUCUUUUGUCAUUUGAUUUUCAGGUAAUGGAACUGCAAAUAGGAGUGGCAGCGGCAACCAUGAUGCAAGUGCAAGUGGUUCCCAAAGAUCUUGGAAAACUAUUUGGUAUUUGUUCGUAAAUUGGUUGAAGUUUUUUGGCGUGAAUGGACAUAACAGUACAUUGCGCUGUUCAUGUAGUGAGAUGAGGAUGAUCACAAUUCAGAGUAUUUGGGGACAAGGAAGAUGAUCCAUCAAUGCAAGAUCAGCAAGAGGCACAAAUGCAAGUGGAAAAAGAGACGCAAAUUCAAGUGGAAAUGGACGCAGCACCAAACGAUGGCAAUUUGGAGACCCGUAGAUCUGUACGGCUUGUCAAGAAGAAGACCAAGGACGUCAACAGCCUAUACUUGUUGCUUAGAAAUCUGCGGGCAAGUCUCUUCUUUUUAGUGUUUUAUCAUUCAUGAUAAUUGCUUAGAAUAUUUUAGUUACUUGGAGCUGCUAGUUACUUAGAUGUAUGCACUUUCUAUCUAUGCCUAGCCUCAUUGACAUGUUAAGCAAUGUAUUUAUAUUAUCCUGAAAUGUUACCACUUGACUAUUGUUGCACUAGACACUUCCCUGUUAGUCCGUUUUAUUUCAUUAUGCACAAAGUGGAAGAUGAAAAUUCUGAUGUUGAACUACAUGCAUCCUGAUCCUUUUUCUGUUUUCUCUGAACCAGAAAUGCCACAUGAAGAACUAAGGAUAUCAAGAAGCUUUUGGAUGUAUGCAAGCUUGGAGCUGCUGUUUUAUAGGUAUGUUAACCACUAUAUUUAUCGUUCAAUAUUUUUGAGCUUAUGCAUGAUUUUUGAUUCACAUUUUUCACCAUGGAUUUUCCUUCCGUAUGACAAUUGACAAAUGUCUAGUCCAAGCCAACAGCAGGUUGUUUGUGUCUAUGUUGCUUUCUUUGUAUCCUUGCGAGUUUUGUUGUGCCGGAGUACAAACUAUAAAUUAGAAUUCAUCAUUCUAGUAUAUGGAGGCAUUUAACCUUUGCUCCUGAAGCUUUUUUGUGAAUAAAAAACUAUAUUGCUGCAGUAGAUUUGUUAUUUGAUUCAUGAGCAUGCAUAACAUUUGACUAUUGUUCUACUAGCUACUUACUUAUCCUGUUAAUCCAUUUUAUUUUUUGUUGCACAAAGUGGUAGAAGAUAAUUCUGAUGCAGAACUACCUCCAUCCUGACCCUUCCUUUGUUUUCUCUAAACCAGAAAUGGCAUGUGUAGAAAUAGAAUAACCAAGGAUAUAAAGAAGCUUUUGGAUAUAGGCAAGCUUGGAGCUGCUGUUUCAAUGUCAUGCUUUAAUGGUUGUCUUUUGGAGCUGUUGUUUCUAUCAGUAAUCCUUUUAAGUCUGUUGGCUGUACCGGACUAUUUAAAGUCUGAACUACGCUGUGAUGGUUGAACUGAUGCUGGACUGUUAAGGGUUAUGUUGGAGGCAACUUUAUAACUAAUGUGUGCCUGUUAUGUUGGACAGAUGCAGUUUUAAUAAUCCCUAGAGCUUAUUUGCUGAAGUUUAUAUGAUCAAUCCUGAUGGUUGUUGCGCUGCUAUGUUUAGGCUUUGUUUUAUUUCAAAUUUUGUUUGAAUUUCGGCCGAAUUUCGGCCAAAUUUCGGUUGAAUUUUGGUCAAAAUUUCAAAUUUUGAUUUUGCAAUUUCGCCCGAGAUUUUGCUGAAAAAUUUAAAAUUCCCGAAAUUCGUCCAUUUCGGCCAAGGACGAAAAAAAACACAAACCGAAAUUCAAA
rnacentral:lncRNA from 1 species